rnacentral:lncRNA from 1 species
CACCGCAAGGACUGGAGAAGGGCCAUGAGAGAAGCAGUACCUUAUAAUGGUUCCUUGUUCAAAGCACUCAAUAUUCCUAGGAUGUGGUCUCCCAGCUGACUUCAUAACUGAAUCAUCAGUAAUUAAUUUCAUUGUUCUAUUAGGACUUUACUGAAGACUCUAAGGAGGACCUGUAUCUGUUGGGAUCCUUAGGGCAAGCCACAGAAACAAGCUUUGGAUACUAGAAGCAGAAAAUGGAGUUAUUGAAGACUAUUGUGGAGUUUACUGUGAGCCAGAGAACCAGGCUGGGUGGCUGUACCACUUAGAAUGAGAUCCAAACUCACACCAUAGUUCCAUCCUUGAGGUCGCCAUGUUGCUGCCACCCCUCCUGCCACCCCACCACUGAAGCUUUGGAUGCUGGAUUCUGGGCACAGCGGGGAGAAGUGUUGGUUAUUACCAUUUUAAGACAGGUUCUUGCUCUGUUGCCCAGGCUGGAGUGCAGUGGUGUGAUCACGGCUCACUAUAGCCUCAUCCUGCUGCACUAAAGUGAUCCUCUUGCCUCAGCCUCCUGAGUAGCUAGGACUACAGGCACGUGCCACCAUACCCAGCUAUUUUUUUUUUAAUACAUUUUUGUUGAGGCUGGGUCCCCUUUGCUGUCCAGGCUGGUCUUAAGCUCCUGGCCUCAAGCAAUCCUUCCA